GAGUUUGAUCCUGGCUCAGGAUGAACGCUAGCGACAGGCUUAACACAUGCAAGUCGAGGGGCAGCGGGGGCGAAGCUUGCUUCGCCUGCCGGCGACCGGCGCACGGGUGAGUAACACGUAUGCAACCUGCCUGCCACAGCCGGAUAAUCGGGAGAAAUCCCGUCUAAUACGGCAUAAUGCAUCGACGGGACAUCCUGUUGGUGCCAAAGGUUAAUUCCGGUGGCGGAUGGGCAUGCGUCGCAUUAGUUAGUUGGCGGUGUAACGGACCACCAAGACGACGAUGCGUAGGGGUUCUGAGAGGAAGGUCCCCCACACUGGUACUGAGACACGGACCAGACUCCUACGGGAGGCAGCAGUGAGGAAUAUUGGUCAAUGGGCGGGAGCCUGAACCAGCCAAGUCGCGUGAGGGAUGACGGCCCUAUGGGUUGUAAACCUCUUUUGCCGGGGAGCAAAGUGCCGCACGUGUGCGGUUUGGAGAGUACCCGGAGAAAAAGCAUCGGCUAACUCCGUGCCAGCAGCCGCGGUAAUACGGAGGAUGCGAGCGUUAUCCGGAUUUAUUGGGUUUAAAGGGUGCGUAGGCGGACGCUUAAGUCAGCGGUAAAAUUGCGGGGCUCAACCUCGUCGAGCCGUUGAAACUGGGUGCCUUGAGUGGGCGAGAAGUACGCGGAAUGCGUGGUGUAGCGGUGAAAUGCAUAGAUAUCACGCAGAACUCCGAUUGCGAAGGCAGCGUACCGGCGCCCAACUGACGCUGAAGCACGAAGGCGUGGGUAUCGAACAGGAUUAGAUACCCUGGUAGUCCACGCAGUAAACGAUGAAUGCUAGUUGUCCGGGGCGAUUGAGUUCUGGGUGACACAGCGAAAGCGUUAAGCAUUCCACCUGGGGAGUACGCCGGCAACGGUGAAACUCAAAGGAAUUGACGG
rnacentral:rRNA from 1 species